UACGGGGGGGGGCAAGCGUUGUUCGGAAUUACUGGGCGUAAAGGGCUCGUAGGUGCCAACUAAGUCGGACGUGAAAUCCCUCGGCUUAACCGGGGAACUGCGUCCGAUACUGGUUGGCUUGAGUUUGGGAGAGGGAUGCGGAAUUCCAGGUGUAGCGGUGAAAUGCGCAGAUAUCAGGAGGAACACCGGUGGCGAAGGCGGGUCUCUGGGGCCGUAACUGACGCUGAGGAGCGAAAGCGUGGGGAGCAAACAGG
rnacentral:rRNA from 1 species